rnacentral:piRNA from 1 species
UGCCUUAGGAAAGAAUUGAGAUUUCUCUCUU